GGGCUUGACAUCCCACGAACCUGCCUGAAAGGGCGGGGUGCCCGCAAGGGAGCGUGGAGACAGGUGGUGCAUGGCUGUCGUCAGCUCGUGUCGUGAGAUGUUGGGUUAAGUCCCGCAACGAGCGCAACCCUCACCCCUAGUUGCCACCGGGUAAAGCCGAGCACUCGAGGGGAACUGCCAGCGUCAAGCUGGAGGAAGGCGGGGAUGACGUCAAGUCAUCAUGCCCCUUACGCCCUGGGCCACACACGUGCUACAAUGGCUGGUACAAAGGGACGCGAGACCGCAAGGUGGAGCUAAUCCUAAAAAACCAGUCUAGGUUCAGAUUGCAGUCUGCAACUCGACUGCAUGAAGGAGGAAUCGCUAGUAAUCGCGCAUCAGCACGGCGCGGUGAAUACGUUCCCGGGCCUUGUACACACCGCCCGUCACACCACGAAAGUUGGCUGUACUCGAAGUCGCUGAG
rnacentral:rRNA from 1 species